UUACGCCUAUGGUAUCUAUGUAAUAUUUUUUAAAUAACUUUGGUCCAUUUCGUCGAUUCGCCCCAACUUUUUAAAUGAUCCAUUUCGCCGAUUCAAGUUUAUAAUAGGCAACCCAAAUUACACGGCGCAAAGUAGUGGGUCAGGAUUUAGUUGCAAAUAUCAAAAUUUGUCAAAUGUCAAACAACAUCUCACAAAAAACAAAAAUCGCAGUCAGAAAUGCAAAUGCGUCUGCGUCGCGUGUUGUUUGUUUUUGUUUGUUUAAGCAACUUUAAUCUAGUUAAAUCUAAGACACACUUUUAAACGACAGAGGAAAUAAUUAUGUUGGAGGAAACUUUAUUACAUUUAAAGCCAAGAAUUUGGCUUUGGUUGGACUCUGGAUUGGAUCCAUCUGUAUCUGUUUAAUGUUAGGAAGAUGCAAAAGAAAUUAGGAGAUAAGGCAUUCUUAUGAAGUAGUAGUUGUUAGUAAGAGUCACAUUGAAGAUUGGUGCAUCGGAUGGACGCAUUGGAUCAACGCAUCGGAUGGAUGCAUCUGCUUCAAUGUGGUAAGCAUUCGACCUACU
rnacentral:lncRNA from 1 species